UACGAGGGGGGCAAGUGUUGUUCGGAAUCACUGGGCGUAAAGGGAGCGUAGGCGGGCUUUUAAGUUGGACGUUUAAAACCGGGGCCCAACCCCGGCGUGGCAUCCAAAACUGGGAGUCUUGAAUGGAACAGAGGCUAGUGGAAUUGGAGGUGUAGCGGUGGAAUGCGUAGAGAUCUCCAAGAACACCCGUUGCGAAGGCGGCUAGCUGGGUUCACAUUGACGCUGAGGCUCGAAAGCGUGGGGAGCAAACAGG
rnacentral:rRNA from 1 species